CCCUUAGAUGUUCUGGGCUGCACGCGCGCUACACUGAUGCACUCAUCGAGUUUAUGACCUUGUCCGAGAGGAUUGGGUAAUCUUCUUAAAAUGCAUCGUGAUGGGGAUAGAUUAUUGCAAUUAUUAAUCUUCAACGAGGAAUGCCUAGUAAGCGCAAGUCAUCAGCUUGCGUUGAUUACGUCCCUGCCCUUUGUACACACCGCCCGUCGCUCCUACCGAUUGAAUGGUCCGGUGAAGCGUUCGGACCGUGGCCUUUGGACGGUUCGCCGUCUGUUGGCUGCGGGAAGUUCGUUAAACCUUAUCAUUUAGAGGAAGGAGAAGUCGUAACA
rnacentral:rRNA from 1 species